GUUUUUUAUAUAUUUUUUGCAAGUCUGAAAAAAUGAAAUUAAGUCAUUCAGUGUUAGCCAACAACAGCUCAUAUAAAUCAGAGUCUCAGUUUCUUCAGAUUGGCUUAUGAAGGAAGAAGCUGCAUGAAGUUAUUGAGCUGCCAUGUUUCCUAAUUCUUUAACUUCUUCCUGCAGGAUCACAGCAGCAGAUAUAGCCUCAAACGUAAUGAUCACAAAGAGAGUGAGAAGAGCAAAAUAGAAAUGGCACACUGCAGUGAGUAAGUGUGAUUCAUUCAGAUCUCAUCUACGUCUCACAGCAGAAGAGCAACGAGACCCGCAGAUACCUGAAAACAGUAAACGGUGGCAUGGACUGCUGUCUGUAAAUCCUCCGACACAUUAAUGAUCGCUCAGACCACUUCAAUGUGAUGCUAAACAGUUUAAGUGGAAGUAAUUAUCUUGUUUCUGUCCGUUUGUUUGGCUCGAGGGCCGCCCGGAUAGACUGACUCCCUGAUAAGAUCACAGCCCGUUAGACUCUCAGUGAUGAGUAAUGAACAGUGCUUUCUGAGUAAAUAUCCACACGGACGCUUCAGACGCUCUCGGCUGUUUGAUUCACAUCAGCCGCGUUCACACUGCAGCUAAAUACAGUCCUCACUCCUGUUUUGAGUGCUUAAAUAUGUUUUGAGUUUUUGUUGCAGGAGCUAGUGACAUCUGAGUUCACAUUAAAUCUGUCUGGUGUUAACAGAGAAUCACAUUCCAUUUUAAGCAUUGCAUAUUUACAUUUGCAUAUAAACUUCUUUUCUCUCUCUUCUUUUCAGCUUUGUUGCAGCACAUGACACAUCACAUUGUUGUCACUGUGACCCAGAAGUUGACAGCUCUCAUUGAAAACAUCUCUCUUCUUCUGAAGAUGGAGUGUCUGCUGUCUUUGAAAGUAUAAGUAACGUAAUUUGCCCAUGGCUUCACGUGAAAGUCCUUCACCAGCUGUGUGACUGCCAUUGAGAAGAAUGCAAAUGCUAACAGAUGGAUGCUUUCUCCAGCCUCCAGAUCCAGUCUGUAUCCAGAUCAGAUGGUGGAUCAACACUUAGAGACGACCUCUACAGCCCUGAAUGUCAGCGGAGACCACGUCAACUAUAUGAGCUCCAGAGACAGAUCCCCUGCGAAGACCUCAUCACCUCGACAUCCAUCGGCACAAGACCACAGGAACCAGACAAAACCUCUGCACCUUUGUUGCAGCCUGGAAUUAAACCUAUAGACUGUAUAAAACAUGGACGUAGUUUCUGAAGAGCAUUUUUAAGCUUAAAGUGGGCUGAGGUGGCGCCGCCAUCUUGGCAGCGUAUCACCGCGGAUAAUCGAAAAUGGGCAAAGAGGCAGAGCGUGGGUGGAGCUGGUUGCUGAAACCACACCCGCCUAGCUCGACAGUGGUGACAGCAGCGGCAAUCCACCUGUCACUCAAGUGGCCACGCCACUAUAUUAAGCAGAACUUUAAGGCUUAAUAUAAUUUAAAUGGAUGAGUUAUAAAAAAAAUCACCCCCCUCACCGUUGUCAUGAAGGGCAAAAUUAGCUAUAUAGACCAAAACCACUUUUUGCACCAGGCUGUAAACAUAUUUUUUACUGCUGUAAAGUUGGACAUUUUAACAUGAGGGCUCUUUGGGAUUGACUCCCCUUUGGAGCCAGCCUCUAGCAAUAAAUUGCAGUUUAAGUCACUUCCGUGUUGGUUUCAAGAGAGACUGGAAGGUUGCCGCUUGAUUAAACCACGCCAUGCUGGUGUCGUCUGGCCCCCCAACUGAGCCUGGUUUCUCCCAAGGUUUUUUUUUUCUCCAUUUCUGUCACCGAUGGAGUUUUGGUUCCUUGCCACUGUCGCCUUUUGCUUGCUUAGUUGGGGAUGCUUGACUGAUUGCACAGACACUAUUGGAAGAGAGCUGAACUGGAUGAUGACAUCACUGAAUCAUCAAUGAACUGACUUUAGCAGGAAAAAUGACUGUUUGUUAUUGUCCUCUUGUAUUAUUGACAAACUAUUUUCCUGUUUGACACUGUAAAGCUGCUUUGACACAACCAGUAUUGUAUAAAGGUGACUUGACCUGUUUUGUGCAUGUUGGCGUGUGUUUGUGUGUAAAUGUUGGUUGUUUUGUGCUUGCGCAGCACGUUAGCGUGUGCAAAGGUGUGUGGGUCACCGCAGCCCUCUGGGGUUAAGGCCUGAUUUCUUCUGCAUACAUCAGCAGGUUACAUCAGAGGAAAUUACAGCAGCGCUCAGUGAAAGGGCUAAUCGAAAUUCACCUAUAGACAAACACACACACACACACACACACACACACACACACACACACACACACACACACACACACACACACACACACACACACACACACACACACACACAAACCUGUACUUCCUGAGAGGAGGUAAAUGCAGCUUCUUCUGAUUUCAGACACAGUCAGAAUGUGUGAGUCUAGCAUGAGAAAAUGAUUAUGUAGCAGAACUGGACGCAAAGCUCUGUGAACAAGUGCUGUUAUCCCCCGCUAAGAAGAACGACAAGAAAGAGAAGAGAGGAAGUAAAAAUCAAUGGAAGAGAGAGACAGAGAGAGAAUUUCCUCUGCUAAUUAAGAAAACCUCAUUCACCAUAAAUCACGCAGCAGAACACGGACUGAACAGCAAGCCUCAGUCUCUCCAGUUUCAUAUCAGACUGUUCUCUGUUUGCUAAUAAUAGGCAAAUGCAAUAAUGUACAAAAUGACUCUAACAUAAAAGGAGGAAUAAAGUAUGCUUAAAUAAUAAUCUCUUGUGUUA
ensembl:lncRNA